rnacentral:tRNA from 1 species
CGGAUGUACCCAAGUGGA